rnacentral:rRNA from 1 species
AUGGGGAGUUCGCGCAACAAGUUCACCUCUCUUCUCCUCAUGUUCUGCCUGGUUGUGCUGGUGAGAGCGGAGUAUGCCAAGUACAAGGAUCCGAAGCAGCCUCUCGCCGUUCGCAUCAACGAUCUGCUUGGUCGGAUGACUCUGGCUGAAAAGAUCGGCCAGAUGACUCAGAUUGAGAGGGUGAAUGCCACGGCAGAGGCCAUGUCCAAAUACUUCAUAGGCAGUGUGCUGAGUGGUGGAGGCAGCGUGCCUGCUCCUCAAGCAUCUGCUGAGGCUUGGGCUUCGAUGGUGAAUGAGAUACAAAAGGGUUCUCUUUCUACACGGCUUGGUAUUCCGAUGAUCUACGGUAUUGAUGCUGUCCAUGGCAACAAUAAUGCCUACAGAGCUACUAUCUUCCCCCACAAUAUUGGGCUUGGAGCUACCAGGGACCCUAUGCUGGUGAAGAGGAUAGGAGAAGCAACUGCUCUUGAAGUUAGAGCUACCGGAAUCUCUUACGCCUUUGCUCCGUGCAUUGCGGUUUGUAGAGACCCAAGAUGGGGACGGUGCUACGAAAGCUAUAGCGAAGACCCAAAGGUUGUCCAGUCAAUGACCACACUCAUCUCUGGCUUGCAAGGGGAUGCUCCAUCAGAUUACACAGGAAGGCCAUAUGUUGGUGGAAGCAAGAAGGUCGCUGCAUGCGCGAAGCACUAUGUCGGUGAUGGUGGAACAUAUAUGGGAAUCAACGCAAACAACACAAUCAUUGAUACGCAUGGGCUAAUGAGCAUCCAUAUGCCUGCUUAUUACAAUUCUAUCAUCAGAGGUGUCUCCACAGUUAUGGUCUCCUACUCUAGUUGGAAUGGGGAGAAAAUGCAUGCAAACCAUUUCCUUAUCACCGAUUUUCUCAAGAACAAGCUCAAAUUUAGGGGUUUUGUGAUUACAGACUAUGAAGGCAUUGAUCAGAUCACCUCUCCUCCGGGCGUAAACUAUUCUUAUUCAGUUGAGGCUGGAAUUGGUGCCGGUAUUGACAUGGUGAUGGUUCCUUUCGCCUACACAGAAUUCAUUGAUGAUCUGACAUACCAAGUUAAGAACAACAUUAUCCCCAUGAGCAGAAUCGACGAUGCUGUCUACAGGAUUCUUCGUGUCAAGUUCACCAUGGGUCUGUUUGAGAACCCGUUCGCCGAUCCAAGCCUCGCCGGUGAAAUUGGCAGCCAUGAACGCCGCGAAGUUGCCCGUGAAGCUGUCAGGAAAUCCCUGGUGUUGCUGAAGAACGGAAAAUCUGCCUCCACUCCGUUGCUGCCUCUCCCGAAGAAGGCCGGUAAGAUCCUCGUCGCCGGCAGCCACGCCGACAACCUGGGCAACCAAUGUGGGGGGUGGACGAUCACAUGGCAAGGAGAGCCUGGCAAUAACAACACUGCAGGCACGACGAUCCUCUCGGCGAUCAAGUCCACGGUCGACCCCGGCACGCAGGUGGUCUACGCCGAGAACCCAGGCAGAAGCGCCGUGGAUGCCGGCGAGUACGACUACGCCGUCGUGGUGGUCGGUGAGCCGCCGUACGCCGAGACAGCGGGCGACAACCUGAACUUGACGAUCCCGGAGCCCGGCCCGGCCGUGAUCCAGACCGUGUGCGAGAGCGUCAAGUGCGUGGUGGUCCUCAUCUCCGGCAGGCCGUUGGUGGUGGAGCCGUACAUCGGCGCCAUGGACGCGUUCGUGGCCGCCUGGCUGCCCGGCUCGGAGGGUCAGGGCGUCGCCGACGUGCUGUUUGGUGAUUACGGGUUCACCGCGAAGCUGCCGCGGACGUGGUUCAAGUCGGUGGACCAGCUGCCGAUGAACGUCGGCGACGAGCACUACGACCCGCUGUUUCCCUUCGGGUUCGGGCUCACCACCGAGGCGAUGAAAUGA